rnacentral:rRNA from 1 species
AGUGAACGCUGGCGGCAGGCCUAACACAUGCAAGUCGAACGGCAGCACAAGAGAGCUUGCUCUCUGGGUGGCGAGUGGCGGACGGGUGAGGAAUGCAUCGGAAUCUGCCCAUUUGUGGGGGAUAACCUCGGGAAACCGGGACUAAUACCGCAUACGACCUACGGGUGAAAGCAGGGGAUCUUCGGACCUUGCGCAGAUGGAUGAGCCGAUGCCGGAUUAGCUAGUUGGGGGGGUAAAGGCCCACCAAGGCGACGAUCCGUAGCUGGUCUGAGAGGAUGAUCAGCCACACUGGGACUGAGACACGGCCCAGACUCCUACGGGAGGCAGCAGUGGGGAAUAUUGGACAAUGGGCGCAAGCCUGAUCCAGCCAUGCCGCGUGUGUGAAGAAGGCCUUCGGGUUGUAAAGCACUUUUGUUGGGAAAGAAAAGCAGCCGGUUAAUACCCGGUUGUCAUGACGGUACCCAAAGAAUAAGCACCGGCUAACUUCGUG